GGGAGGUCCUGCACUAUUGUCAACCACACACAAUGGCAAGAGGAGCCUGAGAUGUUUCUUUACAAAGCGACUCACUCGCUGCCGUCGAGCGCCAGGAGAAGAGAAUAAAGAUGUCGUUGAUGUACAAAGAGGUCACAUGUGAUGACUCAUGAGAGUUUGAGACAGCCUCUGUCAGCUUCUGGAGAAAAACGGCACCUUGUUCCUGACAGCUAGCGCUGAAGUGUUAACCAGAGCACACGUACACCAGCGUUCAAUCCCGCUCAAGGCCUGCAAGCCGUCUGGUCACUGGUGACCCUCUUACCCAAUUAAGAGGCCAGAGUGUUUACCACGUACCAGCACACCAUAAAUAUAUCAUGAGAACAUCCUUCAAUAAUUGACAUAAUGCAAGUGCUGGGAUUCCCGCUGCCAGUGGUUGGCAUCUGUGCGCACAGUAGCCUGAGGGACGGCCGGGCCGAGGGUCAUCUUGUUUUUUGGCGGGAGGUUCUGACGUGUUUUGUGUUGUGAAUGCCCGAGUCGAGGUGGUGGCGUGAUCCAGGGAUGAAAGAUGCCGCAGACGUCCCGCGGCCUGGGAGAAUGACUGGCAGAGGAAAGACGAAUGCUAUUCAUUUAAUGAUGCCCACCAGUCCGGUCCAAGCUGACUAACGUAUGCUGAGAGCAGAGGUGAAGGA